rnacentral:lncRNA from 1 species
UUGUACUAAAUAUAACUGUUACUUACUCCUUCUCUCUCAGGGUCCCUCUUCUUUUCAAAACAGAACAUUAUUCUUUAAUGUAUGAUAGGCCCCCUCGGUGAAGGGAGCUGAGAAAGCCUACCUAUGCAUACAUGUCAAGACAUUUAUUGUCUCCUGUAAUCCUUGUUCAUGCAACUCCUGGUGACGAAGCCAGAAAAAACUGAUGAUUCAUUAGUCUGACCCUGGACAAGAGGAAGACGCAUUUAAUUUAGUAUCGGUUAUUGCCAGAAUCUGCCUCAUCUGAAUUUUUCCCUGGAUGCUUUCUGUCUCUGGAUAAUUUUCAUUCUCAGAUAAGUUUUGGGGUUGUUUGGUCUAUUUAUUUAUUUAUUUAUUUAUUGUGAGUACUAGAGCUCCAUAAAUGAAACUGAGGAAAAGGAACAGUCCGUAGUUUGUUAUUGGCAGUAUCAGAAUUUACCAAAACUAGGUUUCUAUUUAUUUGGGAAUUCAGAGUUCACUAUUAAUUUUAUCUAACUCACCUGUCUGUCACUUGCUGAUGCUGAACUUUAUCUUUCAUUUGAAA